CUAUUUUUUUUAUAUUUUUUUGAAUAAGGAGGAUAAUAUUUUGGAAAAAAAGAAAUAAAUCGAGCCUGAUAGAUUUCUUAUGUUGCAUCUUUUAUCUUGCGUAUAUAAUGCGCCAUAUUGAAAAGGGAAACAUUAUAAGUUAGGGAAACAUUAAUGUAGAAGUCGUUGCAUUCAUGGGUUUUAUCUUCACUGCUAAUUACAGUUGCACAUUUUGGAGAUGGGCACAAGUAGUUAUAAUCCUUAUGGCAGUCAUGGACACGAGAUUCAAGCAAAUUAAGAGUCGGGUAAAGCUUGAAACAUAAAGUGCAGUUUCAUAUAUCGCCGGAAUUGUCAAUUUCGACGCUCUUUAAUUUGCGGCAACACGUGCACACCAAGGGAUGCAGAGUGAAACAUGAAAUCAAUCAGACUUAGACAAGGAAUAAUAAAUAAGCUACUGAAUAAAUAGAGCAAACUUAGACAAGGAAUACGAAAUAUGACAGGAAAGAAAAACCUCCCAACUCCACCCUUUUCCCUCCUACUCUUAGCGCAAAUGUAUAUCUAUCUAAAGUAGUAUGGAGUCAAGAAUUGACGUACUCUACAACAGCAUUCUACCUUGAGAAACAGCAUGUUAAGGGAAAAAAAAUGACUAUUGGGACAUUUAAUGUUCUCAUUUUUAUAAUUUUUAAAUUUACUCAGCUCAUUCACUUAACAUAGACAUCAAAACAGCAGGAAAUGGAUCAAAUGAAAUGUAAUUCUUAAGACACAUAGUCUGCUAUUUACACUCACAGUAUAUCUAGAUUACGAUCAAUGAAAUGUAAUUUGAUUUUAGUGUUUUUGGAUGCUUAAUUAUUGGUACUUUUGUUAAACAGAAACGGGUGAGGAGGCUACUAAAGUUGUUGUACCGGAAUUGGUUUUGAAAAAGCAGAAGAAGAAGAAGAAGAAGAAGAGAGUUCAAGGAGUAGCUGGAUGUUCAGAAGAAGAAGAGAGUUCAAGACAGGAAGCUGAUCUUCAAGAGGGGCGAGCAGUACAUUAAGGAAUACAAAAACUAGACAUUUCCUUGGUUCUGGCUAGCUUAUUUUGUGCUGUGGAGCUCAGCAUAUGUCAACUUUCAAUGGCUCAUCAACUUAUGUGGUUUCACUUGGUGGCCGUAUCCUUUUCUAAAGCUGUCAACACCCCUGGCUCCUC